GCUUCUUUGACUCACCUCUCUCAAAUUCUAGAGAGAGAACAAACACAAAUUCUAGAGAGAGAGAGAGAGAGGGGGCAUAGGAAGAUCCUAAAGUUCCACAUUGAUUGGAGAUAGAGUAUUGAAAGAGAAUAUAUAGAGAGACAUUUUUCACCUUACCAACUGAUUUUGUAAGAAUGAGUUAGGUCAAACUCUAAUAAUAUUUUUGGUGAUAGGGAGAGGUUCCUGCAUCUAUAAACUGUAGACUGCUUGAGCAUCAGAGAGUGAGAGUGAAGUUUCUGUAUGGAGGCAUCCUUGGAGUGUGUAUGAAAAAUUUACAAUAUUGAUGUGAGUUACACAUUUUCCUUUUUUAUUUACUCCCUCCGGUUAUUUUUUGCGCUAUAAUACUUCCAUAGAUAUAUUGAUAU